GAGGGCUGGGAGCUAGACAUGGGUUCCCAGCCUCUCUCCAGAUACACAGUUGCCUGAAUCCAAGUCUCUCAUCUACAAAUUUUGCUGGAGAUUACAAUCUGUUGGAAGAAAAGGAAAUGUACAAGAAGAGGAAGAAAUGAAAAUCUUAGAAACCUAUUCAGGUAGUCACAAGUUUACAGGAGUCUUUAACAAGAGUUCCUGAUCAGAGACACAGAUUCACAUGAGAAACUUUUAAAAGUGAAUGAAGAGGAGAAAAAUACCAGACCCUCUCCAUUUGUACCAGAGAUAUAAUGGGAUUUAAAAUUCAACUGUAUCAAAGCUCCUCCAGUUAGACCUGGGAGGCAUCCUUUUGUAACAGCCACUUUGCAAAAUACUGGUGCCACAAGCAAACAAAUGAUCACUCCAGAAAUAAGGAGAAGACAAGUCCUUUAUUUUUUAAAUUUCUGGGGCUGAGCCCUCGGGAACUACCUUGGGGGAGGGUGGGAAUGAAAUGUGCCGCUGUGCACCUGGCCUUCAGCUAUUCAGGAGCUUGGGCGGCAGGAAAUAGCUCGGGGGCAGCUUCCGUAUUUGCAGGAGCUAGUGAAAAGACAUCUUUUUUCCCCUCACAGCUACGUUCGUAAACAAAUGUUCACUCUCCAACCCUCACCCCAAUUUGGAGCAUAUUUACCCAAUAAAGUAGGCCUUCAAAUGCC